rnacentral:rRNA from 1 species
GAUGAACGCUGGCGGCGUGCUUAACACAUGCAAGUCGAACGGGAAAUAUUUCAUUGAGACUUCGGUGGAUUUGAUUUAUUUCUAGUGGCGGACGGGUGAGUAACGCGUGGGUAACCUGCCUUAUACAGGGGGAUAACAGUCAGAAAUGGCUGCUAAUACCGCAUAAGCGCACAGAGCUGCAUGGCUCAGUGUGAAAAACUCCGGUGGUAUGAGAUGGACCCGCGUUGGAUUAGCUAGUUGGUGGGGUAACGGCCCACCAAGGCGACGAUCCAUAGCCGGCCUGAGAGGGUGAACGGCCACAUUGGGACUGAGACACGGCCCAGACUCCUACGGGAGGCAGCAGUGGGGAAUAUUGCACAAUGGGGGAAACCCUGAUGCAGCGACGCCGCGUGAAGGAAGAAGUAUCUCGGUAUGUAAACUUCUAUCAGCAGGGAAGAUAGUGACGGUACCUGACUAAGAAGCCCCGGCUAACUACGUG